CGCUCGAGGAGCGGCUCGGCGUCGCGUUGUUCCUGCGGAUCAAGAAACGGGUCGUGCUGACGCCGCACGGCCGCCAUUAUGCGGCGCUCGUGCGGCGCAACCUCGAGCGCAUCGAGCGCGACACGCUCGAGCUGAUGGCGCAGCGCGGCAUCGGCGCGACGCUCGAGCUCGCGGUCGUGCCGACGUUCGCGAGCCAGUGGCUGAUUCCGCGCCUGCCGCAGUUCCGCGCGCUGCGGCCCGACAUCACGGUGAACCUGUCGGUGCGCACCGGGCCGUUCCUCUUCAGCGAUUCGACGUUCGACGCGGCGAUCUACUUCGGCCACGCGCUGUGGCCCGGCACGCAGGGGCGGCUGCUGUUCCUCGAAGGCGACAUGCUGCCCGUCUGCAGCCCGGCGCUGCUGGGCGCGAACGGGCGGCGCAUCACGCGCGACGCGCUGCUCGAUCUGCCGCUGCUGCACCUGUCGACGCGCGCGGACGCGUGGCGCGACUGGUUUCGCGCGCAAGGCCUCGACAACGAUCUGCGCGCGGUGCGCGGCCCGCGCUACGAGCUGUUCACGAUGCUGACGGCGGCCGCGCACGCGGGCAUGGGCGUCGCGCUGAUGCCGGCGCUGCUCGUCGCGGACGAGCUCGCAUCGGGCCGCCUUUGCGCGCCGCUCGACCUGCGGCUGCCGAGCGACGCCGGCUAUUACCUCGUCGCGCCGGACGCGGCCGCCGACAGCGAGCCGUUCGUCGCGUUGGCCGAAUGGCUGGGUUCCGUCUCGCCGGCGCGGCCGAUAAGCUGACGCGACGCUCCUGUUCAUCCGUUCAUCGGCCGGCGGCAGGCCGGCCACGCGAGACCGACCAUGACCAUUCGCAUCGACGACAUCGUGCCGCUGUCCAUCGCACGCGCGCGCUUUUCCGAGCUGGCGGACGACGCGCGGGACGGCGGCGAGAAGAUCAUCACGAAGAACGGCGCGGCGUAUGUCGCGCUGAUCGACGCGAGACGGCUCGAUCACUAUCAUCGGCUCGAGCGCGAGCGGGCGGAAUGCGCCUGCGCGGCGCUACUGCACGGCGGCGGCGGCGAUGGUCGCGAUAGCGACGAUAGGGGCAAUGGAGGCGACGCAGCCUGUGACGCAGCCCGCGGCGGCGGACGCGACAGUCCGGACGGCCGUGGCGCCGCGAUCGCCGCCGGGCGGGAGACGGGUGCGGCGAAUGCAACGGAUGCAACGGGUGCGCCGGGGACGAUGGGCGCGAUGGCUGCACCGUGCGAUAGCGACGGCGCCGAUGCGCUCGCCCCCGAUGCGCCGUCGGCCGAGCGGCGCGCCGGACCCGAUUGAGACCUCGGCGGUCUGGGCAUCGACGGCGGAGCACGGCCGACGCGCGUGGCGCAUCCGGCCGCGCGCAUCGCGAACGGACGAACGCGCCGCAUCCGCCGCGCCGCCGGCGCCGGCGCCGUGCACGAUACGCGGCGCGCCCGCGUCCAUCCGUGCAGACGCGGCUUCCUCGCAGGCAAGACAACCGAUACGAUAAUCCGCUCAUCCGCUCUCGAGCGGCCCGCACGGUCCCAACGACAUCCGCAUGCAGAACUACUACGAAGCCACGGUCACGCGCACGCCCUACCCCGCGCUCGCCGAACGCAUCGAUACCGACGUGUGCAUCGUCGGCGGCGGCCUGGCCGGCCUGUCGACAGCCCUCGGGCUCGUCGAGCGCGGCGUGCGCGACAUUGCGCUGCUCGACGCGCAAACGGUCGGCUUCGGCGCGUCGGGCCGCAACGGCGGCUUCGUGUUCGGCGGCUAUAGCCUCGACAACGCGGACCUGCUGCGCACGCUCGGCCCCGAGUCCGCCCGCGCGCUCUAUCGCCUGACGAUCGACGCGGUCGAGCUGAUCCGCGCGCGCGCCGCGCGCUACGGCAUCGAUUGCGAACUCGUCGACGGCGGCGUGAUCCUCGCGAACUGGUUCGACGAUCCGGCGCGCCUUUGCGCGCCGCGCAAGCUGAUGAAGGAGGCGUUCGGCGUCGACUGGGAGCCGCUCGAUGAACGCGCACUGCGCACGCGGCUGAAGACGGACCGCUAUCGCGGCGGCCUCUUCGAGCGCAACGCGUUCCACUUCCAUCCGCUGAAGUACGUGCUCGGCGUCGCGGCCGCGGCCGCGCAGGGCGGCGCACGGAUCCACGAGCAUUCGGCCGCGCGCGCGAUUCGCCGCGACGGCGCGGGUUUUGUCGUCGCGACCGACGGCGGCGCGGUGCGCGCACGCCGCGUGGUGUUCGCGGGCGGCGGCUAUGCGCGCGGCGUGUAUCCGCGCAUCGAGCGCGCGGUGCUGCCGAUCGCGACCUACGUGAUCGCGACCGAGCCGCUCGGCGCGCGGCUCGCCGACGCGAUCGCGUGCGAGGCGGCCGUCUACGACACCCGCUUCGCGUUCGACUACUACCGGCCGCUCGCCGACACGCGAAUUCUGUGGGGCGGCCGCAUUUCGGUGCUCGAACGCGGGCCGGAAGCAAUCGCGCGGCUGCUCAGGCGCGACCUGCUGCGCGUCUAUCCGCAACUGCGCGAUGCCGCCGUGCAGUUCGCGUGGGGCGGGCUCAUGAGCUACGCGCGCCACAAGAUGCCGCAGAUCGGCCGCGAUGCGCACGGCAUCUGGCACGCGGUCGGCUUCGGCGGCCACGGCAUGGCGCCGACGACGGUGGCGGGCGAGGUGCUCGCGGCGGCGCUCGCGGGCGAGCGGCCCGUGCCGGACGGCUUCGCGAGGUUCGGCCUCGCGCGCACGUUCGGGCUCGCGGGGCUCGCCGCCGCGCAGCUCACGUACAGCGCGUACGAGGCGCGCGACGCGCUCGCCGCGCGCCGCUGCGCACGCGCCGGCCAGCCCUUUCGUCAGCGCCUUUAGAGCCCGGAGUCGGGCAAAAGCCGCCUGGGGCGCGUGCUAGAAUGCGCCGACCAUGCCGCCGUCCGAUCACGCCAAAAUGAAACAAGGAAGCAAGGCCGCAGCGCCCGACGCCGAAGCGCGGCGAGACGAGGCGCGCCGCAAAUACGACCCCGAGCAGACGAAGCGCAAUAUUCUCGACGUCGCCACGCAGGAAUUCUCCGCGAUGGGACUGUCGGGGGCGCGC
rnacentral:rRNA from 1 species